rnacentral:piRNA from 1 species
UCUGGGCCAGAAACAAUGGUAAUUGUG